rnacentral:rRNA from 1 species
UGAAACCGUGUGCUUACAAGUAGUCAGAGCCCGUUAAUGGGUGAUGGCGUGCCUUUUGUAGAAUGAACCGGCGAGUUACGAUUUGAUGCAAGGUUAAGCAGUAAAUGUGGAGCCGUAGCGAAAGCGAGUCUGAAUAGGGCGUUUAGUAUUUGGUCGUAGACCCGAAACCAGGUGAUCUACCCUUGGUCAGGUUGAAGUUCAGGUAACACUGAAUGGAGGACCGAACCGACUUACGUUGAAAAGUGAGCGGAUGAACUGAGGGUAGCGGAGAAAUUCCAAUCGAACCUGGAGAUAGCUGGUUCUCUCCGAAAUAGCUUUAGGGCUAGCCUCAAGUGAUGAUUAUUGGAGGUAGAGCACUGUUUGGACGAGGGGCCCCUCUCGGGUUACCGAAUUCAGACAAACUCCGAAUGCCAAUUAAUUUAACUUGGGAGUCAGAACAUGGGUGAUAAGGUCCGUGUUCGAAAGGGAAACAGCCCAGACCACCAGCUAAGGUCCCAAAAUAUAUGUUAAGUGGAAAAGGAUGUGGCGUUGCCCAGACAACUAGGAUGUUGGCUUAGAAGCAGCCAUCAUUUAAAGAGUGCGUAAUAGCUCACUAGUCGAGUGACACUGCGCCGAAAAUGUACCGGGGCUAAACAUAUUACCGAAGCUGUGGAUUGUCCUUUGGACAAUGGUAGGAGAGCGUUCUAAGGGCGUUGAAGCAUGAUCGUAAGGACAUGUGGAGCGCUUAGAAGUGAGAAUGCCGGUGUGAGUAGCGAAAGACGGGUGAGAAUCCCGUCCACCGAUUGACUAAGGUUUCCAGAGGAAGGCUCGUCCGCUCUGGGUUAGUCGGGUCCUAAGCUGAGGCCGACAGGCGUAGGCGAUGGAUAACAGGUUGAUAUUCCUGUACCACCUAUAAUCGUUUUAAUCGAUGGGGGGACGCAGUAGGAUAGGCGAAGCGUGCGAUUGGAUUGCACGUCUAAGCAGUAAGGCUGAGUAUUAGGCAAAUCCGGUACUCGUUAAGGCUGAGCUGUGAUGGGGAGAAGACAUUGUGUCUUCGAGUCGUUGAUUUCACACUGCCGAGAAAAGCCUCUAGAUAGAAAAUAGGUGCCCGUACCGCAAACCGACACAGGUAGUCAAGAUGAGAAUUCUAAGGUGAGCGAGCGAACUCUCGUUAAGGAACUCGGCAAAAUGACCCCGUAACUUCGGGAGAAGGGGUGCUCUUUAGGGUUAACGCCCAGAAGAGCCGCAGUGAAUAGGCCCAAGCGACUGUUUAUCAAAAACACAGGUCUCUGCUAAACCGUAAGGUGAUGUAUAGGGGCUGACGCCUGCCCGGUGCUGGAAGGUUAAGAGGAGUGGUUAGCUUCUGCGAAGCUACGAAUCGAAGCCCCAGUAAACGGCGGCCGUAACUAUAACGGUCCUAAGGUAGCGAAAUUCCUUGUCGGGUAAGUUCCGACCCGCACGAAAGGCGUAACGAUUUGGGCACUGUCUCAACGAGAGACUCGGUGAAAUCAUAGUACCUGUGAAGAUGCAGGUUACCCGCGACAGGACGGAAAGACCCCGUGGAGCUUUACUGUAGCCUGAUAUUGAAAUUCGGCACAGCUUGUACAGGAUAGGUAGGAGCCUUUGAAACGUGAGCGCUAGCUUACGUGGAGGCGCUGGUGGGAUACUACCCUAGCUGUGUUGGCUUUCUAACCCGCACUACUUAUCGUGGUGGGAGACAGUGUCAGGCGGUCAGUUUGACUGGGGCGGUCGCCUCCUAAAAGGUAACGGAGGCGCUCAAAGGUUCCCUCAGAAUGGUUGGAAAUCAUUCAUAGAGUGUAAAGGCAUAAGGGAGCUUGACUGCGAGACCUACAAGUCGAGCAGGGUCGAAAGACGGACUUAGUGAUCCGGUGGUUCCGCAUGGAAGGGCCAUCGCUCAACGGAUAAAAGCUACCCCGGGGAUAACAGGCUUAUCUCCCCCAAGAGUUCACAUCGACGGGGAGGUUUGGCACCUCGAUGUCGGCUCAUCGCAUCCUGGGGCUGUAGUCGGUCCCAAGGGUUGGGCUGUUCGCCCAUUAAAGCGGUACGCGAGCUGGGUUCAGAACGUCGUGAGACAGUUCGGUCCCUAUCCGUCGUGGGCGUAGGAAAUUUGAGAGGAGCUGUCCUUAGUACGAGAGGACCGGGAUGGACAUACCUCUGGUGUACCAGUUGUCGUGCCAACGGCAUAGCUGGGUAGCUAUGUGUGGACGGGAUAAGUGCUGAAAGCAUCUAAGCAUGAAGCCCCCCUCAAGAUGAGAUU